GACGUAGGGGGCCAGCGUUGUUCGGAAUUACUGGGUGUAAAGGGUUCGUAGGCGGUGUGGCAAGUCGGGAGUGAAAUCUCUGGGCUCAACCCAGAGUCUGCUUCCGAAACUGCUGUGCUUGAGUGUGGGAGAGGCGCGUGGAAUUGCAGGUGUAGCGGUGAAAUGCGUAGAUAUCUGGAGGAACACCGGUGGCGAAGGCGGCUCACUGGCUCAUUUCUGACGCUCAGGCGCGACAGCGUGGGGAUCAAACAGG
rnacentral:rRNA from 1 species